rnacentral:rRNA from 1 species
GACGAACGCUGGUGGCGUGCCUAAUACAUGCAAGUUGAGCGCUGAAGGUUGGUACUUGUACCAACUGGAUGAGCAGCGAACGGGUGGGUAACGCGUGGGGAAUCUGCCUUUGAGCGGGGGACAACAUUUGGAAACGAAUGCUAAUACCGCAUAAAAACUUUAAACACAAGUUUUAAGUUUGAAAGAUGCAAUUGCAUCACUCAAAGAUGAUCCCGCGUUGUAUUAGCUAGUUGGUGAGGUAAAGGCUCACCAAGGCGAUGAUACAUAGCCGACCUGAGAGGGUGAUCGGCCACAUUGGGACUGAGACACGGCCCAAACUCCUACGGGAGGCAGCAGUAGGGAAUCUUCGGCAAUGGACGAAAGUCUGACCGAGCAACGCCGCGUGAGUGAAGAAGGUUUUCGGAUCGUAAAACUCUGUUGGUAGAGAAGAACGUUGGUGAGAGUGGAAAGCUCAUCAAGUGACGGUAACUACCCAGAAAGGGACGGCUAACUACGUG